GUCUACGGCCACACCACCCUGCACACGCCUGAUCUCCUCUGAUCUUGGAAGCUAAGCAGGGUCGGGCCUGGUUAGUACUUGGAGGGGAGGAGUGAGCAAACAUGCAAAGCAGAGU
rnacentral:rRNA from 1 species